rnacentral:rRNA from 1 species
UACGUAGGGGGCAAGCGUUGUCCGGAAUCAUUGGGCGUAAAGCGCGUGUAGGCGGCCCGAUAAGUCCGCUGUGAAAGUCCAGGGCUCAACCCUGGAAUGCCGGUGGAUACUGCCGGGCUAGAGUCCGGAAGAGGCGAGUGGAACUCCUGGUGUAGCGGUGGAAUGCGCAGAUAUCAGGAAGAACACCAACGGCGAAGGCAGCUCGCUAGGACGGUACUGACGCUGAGACGCGAAAGCGUGGGGAGCGAACAGG